rnacentral:tRNA from 1 species
AGCAGCGUGGCUUAGUGGAAAGAGCAUGGGCUUGGGAGUCAGAGAUCAUGGGUUCUAAUCCCAACUCUGCUG